UACGAAGGGGGCUAGCGUUGCUCGGAAUUACUGGGCGUAAAGCGCACGUAGGCGGCUCUUUGAGUCGGGGGUGAAAUCCUGGAGCUCAACUCCAGAACUGCCUUCGAUACUGUAGAGCUCGAGUCCGGGAGAGGUGAGUGGAACUGCGAGUGUAGAGGUGAAAUUCGUAGAUAUUCGCAAGAACACCAGUGGCGAAGGCGGCUCACUGGCCCGGUACUGACGCUGAGGUGCGAAAGCGUGGGGAGCAAACAGG
rnacentral:rRNA from 1 species